rnacentral:rRNA from 1 species
AUACGUAGGGGGCGGGCGUUGUCCGGAAUGAUUGGGCGUAAAGGGCGCGUAGGCGGCCCGGUAAGUCUGGAGUGAAAGUCCUGUUUUUAAGAUGGGAAUUGCUUUGGAUACUGUCGGGCUUGAGUGCAGGAGAGGUAAGUGGAAUUCCCAGUGUAGCGGUGAAAUGCGUAGAGAUUGGGAGGAACACCAGUGGCGAAGGCGACUUACUGGACUGUAACUGACGCUGAGGCGCGAAAGUGUGGGGAGCAAACAGGAUUAGAUACCCUGGUAGUCCACACUGUAAACGAUGAAUGCUAGGUGUAGGGGGUAUCGACCCCUUCUGUGCCGCAGUCAACACAAUAAGCAUUCCGCCUGGGGAGUACGGCCGCAAGGUUGAAACUCAAAUGAAUUGACGGGG